UCAUGAUCAUCAUCAUGAUCAUGAUCAUCAUCAUGAUCAUGAUCAUCAUCAUGAUCAUGAUCAUCAUCAUCAUCAUCAUCAUCA
rnacentral:miRNA from 1 species